rnacentral:misc_RNA from 1 species
GAUGAAGAACGCAGCGAAAUGCGAUAAGUAAUGCGAAUUGCAGAAUUUCCGUGAGUCAUCGAAUCUUUGAACGCACAUUGCGCCCACUGGUAUUCCGGGGGGCAUGCCUGUCCGAGCGUCAUUGCUGCCCUCAAGCACGGCUUGUGUGUUGGGCCUCCGUCCUCCUCCCGGGGGACGGGCCCGAAAGGCAGCGGCGGCACCGCGUCCGGUCCUCGAGCGUAUGGGGCUUCGUCACCCGCUCUUGUAGGCCCGGCCGGCGCUUGCCGACACAUCAAUCUUUUUUCCAGGUUGACCUCGGAUCAGGUAGGGAUACCCGCUGAACUUAAGCAUAUCAAUAAGCGGAGGA